rnacentral:rRNA from 1 species
GACGAACGCUGGCGGCGUGCUUAACACAUGCAAGUCGAACGGAAAGGCCCUGCUUUUGUGGGGUUCUCGAGUGGCGAACGGGUGAGUAACACGUGAGUAACCUGCCCUUGACUUUGGGAUAACUUCAGGAAACUCGGGCUAAUACCGGAUAGGAGCUCCUGCUGCAUGGUGGGGGUUGGAAAGUGUCGGCGGUUGGGGAUGGACUCGCGGCUUAUCAGCUUGUUGGUGUGGUAGUGGCUUACCAAGGCUUUGACGGGUAGCCGGCAUGAGAGGGUGACCGGCCACAAUGGGACUGAGAGACGGCCCAGACGCCUACGUGAGGCAGCAGUGGGGAAUAUUGCACAAUGGGCGGAAGCCUGAGGCAGCAACGCCGCGUGCGGGAUGACGGCCUUCGGGUUGUAAACCGCUUUCGCCUGUGACGAAGCGUGAGUGACGGUAAUGGGUAAAGAAGCACCGGCUAACUACGUG